rnacentral:rRNA from 1 species
GAACGCUGGCGGCAGGCUUAACACAUGCAAGUCGAGCGGUAACAGGGGGUGCUUGCACCCCGCUGACGAGCGGCGGACGGGUGAGUAAUGCUUAGGAAUCUGCCCAGUAGUGGGGGAUAGCCCGGGGAAACCCGGAUUAAUACCGCAUACGUCCUACGGGAGAAAGCAGGGGAUCUUCGGACCUUGCGCUAUUGGAUGAGCCUAAGUCGGAUUAGCUAGUUGGUGGGGUAAAGGCCUACCAAGGCCACGAUCCGUAGCUGGUUUGAGAGGAUGAUCAGCCACAUCGGGACUGAGACACGGCCCGAGCUCCUACGGGAGGCAGCAGUGGGGAAUAUUGGACAAUGGGGGCAACCCUGAUCCAGCCAUGCCGCGUGUGUGAAGAAGGCUUUCGGGUUGUAAAGCACUUUCAGCUGUGAGGAAAGGUGAGUGGUCAAUACCCGCUUACUGUGACGUUAACAGCAGAAGAAGGACCGGCUAACUCCGUGCCAGCAGCCGCGGUAAUACGGAGGGUCCGAGCGUUAAUCGGAAUUACUGGGCGUAAAGCGCGCGUAGGUGGUUCAGUCAGUCAGAUGUGAAAGCCCCGGGCUCAACCUGGGAACUGCACCUGAUACUGCUGAGCUAGAGUAC